rnacentral:lncRNA from 1 species
CCGGGCCCACAACACCCCCACACCAGCCUUACCAAGGUGGUUUCACAGUCCUGCCCCCAGAUCACAGCCUCCCGCACGGACGUCAGCAGGAGGCUGGGGUGUAGCAGGGUGGCGGCCAUGUGUGUUGUGCGCCGCAGAUGCGUGAUCUUGCUCUUUGGACUCAAAGAGGGUUCCAGAUGUAGGCUCAUGCAUCUUUGUUUCCACACUGGCUCUGGAGUUGAACUCUGUCCACAGCGGGAGCUCGUGACCUCCUGGGGAAUGAGCGGAAUGUGAGUCCCCGCAGGAACGUAUGUCCUCCUGCCUUUCCAGCCUCUCCGAGAACAGGCCAGCCACACAGAUGAGACCCUCAGGGAAGAGCCAAGCGCGUCUGACCCAGAUUAACUUUGCUUACCUGGGCCUGUCCCAGGGAACAGUAGCAGUAACACCUGAGCAGGCCUUAUGUCUGUAACCCCGGGGGUACAAGUGAGUUCUCUGUCCCCAGGGGCAUGCUAAUUAAAAUCUGAGAACCUGAAAAAGAGCUUUUGUUUAAACCUGGCCCCACCCUGCCCUUUGCUUUCGUGGCCAUUAAAGCUUCUUAUUUCCUCCACUGAGCCUUGAAUGAAUGUCUAGCCCGAACCCCAAGGAUGAGCCCAGCUCUCAUGGAAACACAUGCACACGGGGCCCCAUGCUUGAGCCCCAACACACAGGGGCUCCCUCUGAGUCACUCCAUCACGACUAGCAGCCUUUCUCAAGAGACGAACCCUUAACUGGUCCCAGCUUCCACGGGCCCAAAGUGUCUAAUGAAAACCAGAGCUCCCCGGAGCAUUCCUGAAGCUGACCCCGUUCCAGAGCUGUGUGGCUCUAGGCCUUGGGCUGCAAAGUGAGCUCAGUUCAAAACAAACCUGGGGCCCAUUAUCUCCUUGGCCUGCUGUGUCUCCCGUGGCUGUCUCGUCCGUCCUCUGCCGGGCCUCCGCCCAGUGUUCGGGGCCCUGGAGAAUCUGAUGAGAUGGCAUUCAGGCAGCAUGAUGUAGAGGGCAUGCUGGGUGCUGUUGCCCGGGCAGCUGAGGGUUCGUAGGUGAAAACCGCCAGCGAGAGGCGGCAGGAAGCAGCAUGCUGUUGGUCUGUCAGGCCCUUGAGAAAAGAGCGUUGCAUUAUUGUCACUAUUAAUAAUGGCCCCUUAUUUGAGCCUUGCUAGAACAAUGCUCCAAACAAAGCCGAGAGGAAGAAACAGUCCCUGUUGUGGGAACUUGUAAUCUAUCAAGGCUGGUGGGGGACAAAAGUCCAAUGGGGAGGUGGUGGGGGCGGGUCCCGUAGAUGCUAUAGUUGUUGAGGGUGUAACUGGAAGAUGCCCACAGUCUCACUAGGCAUCCGCAUUCGCUUUGUUGCAGAAAUGUCUCCAGCCCCUCCUUUGUCUUUAUUUCUACCAGAUCUGAGCCCCUCCCAGGCUCUGAAAAGAGAGAGGAUAAAGUUGGGCUGACCCAGGUCUAAAUCUUACUUCUGACACAGCAGGUUCCUUUCUUUCUUUCAUUUUAAAAAAAGUUUCUUUUUAGUUUUUAUUUUUUUAAUUUAUUAUUAUUAUUUGAGGUGCAGCGCAUGGAAGUUCCCAGGCUAGGGGUUGAACUGGAGCUCCAGCUGCCUGCCUACGCUACAGCCACAGCAACACCAGAUCCAAGCCACAUCUGCAACCUAUGCCACAGCUCACUCAAUGCUGGGUCCUUAACCCACUGAGCAGAGUCAGGGAUCAAACCCGAAGCCUUGUGGAUCACGAGUUGGGUUCAUUUCUGCUGAGCCACAGCAGGAAUUCUGAGGUCCCUUUCUUUCUGAGUCUGAUUCCUCACCUGUGGGUGAGCCCCCAGAUCAGAGAUCAUGGGGGCAUCAGCCCCUCGAGUUGCUCAGGGAAUAACAGCUGCCCAAACCAGAAAACUUGCUAGAAGGCCCUUAUACGUAUCACUUAGAGGAAAGUCCCAGAUGCAACGCUGGGCUGUAACUAUUGCCACCAUUUAUUGAGAGACGACUGUGUGCCAGGCACCAGGCCUGCUGCGUUUCUGGACCUGAUUUACUUCUCGGGAAGAGAGCGGUUGCCAGAACAACGGCCAUCACGCUGUUCAGAUGAGGCUGUGGGGCCGUGUUGUUUUCUUGUUGGGUGCCGGGACUGCCGUACCAGGGGUGUGGUGGCAUUUCAGGGCUGGACAGGCUCUGUGCAAACCCAGCAGCCCGUCCUGCCAAGUCGGAAGUCCCGCUGUCCUCCAGAGACGCUGGCAGCCCGUCGCUGCAGCUGUGUGGCAACAAGUCUGACUUAAUUUGGGGGGCAGACUGUGCGGUGUUUGUUAAAAACCAGAAGACUGUGGCUUAUUCAUCCAUCUGUGAAAAUGGCUGUGCCUUGGGUGGGAGAAGCCGGAGGAGAAUGGGUGAUAGCAUUUUAAAAGACUGAAAAUGCUGAUAAGUAUAAAUGUAUCGUGAUGGCCAUGCUGCGUAAGGUCCACGUGGAUAACUCAUUACAGCCAAGCAGGCACCAGAUUUCCUUGCGGCCUCUUCUCUUCCGGGGUUUCUAAUUCAAUUCCGACCUCUCUAUUAAUCUGGGAGAUGGGAAUCUAAUCAUUGUCAGGAAUCGUCCUCCUUCAUAAUCCUUUUAUCACCACCUUGAUUUCUCAGAAAUAAGUCAGGCCAGAGCAAAAAAAGGACAUUUUCCACAUGAUUCAAUUGGUAUAAACCCAAAACUGUUAGAGGGAGGAGGAUUUUUGUAGGUUAAAUCCCCUUCCACACACGUGGGGAAAACAGGCUUCUCAUUGGAAUCCUAUGGUAAAUAGUUUUGUAAAGCAAAGACGCAUAUGUAUAUUCAUCGUGUAGGUUGCAGAGGCAGCUCAGAUCUGCUGUGGCUGUGGCUGUGGCGUAGGCCAGCGGCUACAGCUCCGAUUAGACCCCUAGCCUGGGAAUCAACAUAUGCCGCGGGAGCGGCCCUAGAAAAGGCAAAAAGACAAAAGAAAAAAAAUUUUUUAAACCUUAUCAGUGCACGUUUAUCCUUGGAAGGAUACAGGCAUGUUUUUGGACAGAGGUCUGAGGAGAACCUUGACCUGGAAAUCCUGCCUGCUCAAGGCCCCGGAACCUCAGCGCACACUGAUGUGUCCUCUUCUGAGACCCCUUAUUGGAUUACGCUGCCAUCAGCGGUGGUGACCUCGUGCAUGUAUUAUUCAGGAAGUACUCCGCCCUGCGAGGGCAGGUGCUUUAUUAUCGACUGGGAUCAGUUGGGUGAUUGAAUUCAGAAGAUCCUCGUUUUGUAUUCAGCUUGCUUCUCCUGGUUCCACUUGUCCUCCUCCUUGGUCCUCGGGGCCUCUCGGGAAGCCUCAAAGACUUUCUACAACCACAUGUAGAAACAACCAGUUGUGCCCUCUUCUUCCCCCUCCACGCACACACACGUUACAGCCUCCUCACGAAGAGCAGGUGCUUCUGCAGCGCUGUCUUGGUGCUGAGCGCUGUGCAUACCCUUAACUCAGAACAGCCCCGAGAGGCAGGUGUUGCUUCUUUGCAUUUUCCAGGUGAUGCUGCAGCACUGAGAGGUUCAGUGACUUGCCCAGAGCAACCCAAGUUCAUCCUUAGUCUUCUGCUGGGUCGCUACCUCCACCUCUGUGAACCCUUGACACGUGUGUUUCUCUCCUACAAAACAGAUGUGAGCAUACCUCCCUUUGCUUCUCUCUCAGUGUGAGGAUGAAAUGAAGGGAAAAAAAAAAAAAAAAAAAAAA